CUCUACAAGGAAAUAAGAUUACUUAUUACUUCGCCCUUACUGUCACUGUGCCACCCACGCAGGUUCAACAAUGGUUCCUCCGGUCCUGGUUUCGCCGCUAAUCAAGACUGCAAGAUGGUCAGCCUUACUAGUUGGAAUAAUCUGGCAAGCAGAAAUAUGAUUGCCUGAAGCCUAUUGCUGCUGAGGAGAAGAGGGUGGAAGAAGCAGAGAAGAAACUGAGGGAGGAGCAAGAAAGAAUCUACAAACAACUUUCUGAAGCUAAUUCUGAUACUAUCCUGAAAUGAAUCAUCUGAACAUUCUGUUCAGUCACUUCCAAUACAACCCCGAAGAGAAUCACAAAUUAUAUUAAUAAUUGUAUUGUUUCUAUUUUGGGAAAAAAAGCCUUGUCUGUGUUAUCAUUUGUCUUCUUUAAUGCUUGCUUUAAUCAGAACCCUGUUUUUCAUCAAAACUCUGUUGUUGAAUUCUGGUGUGCUAAAACAUAUCAGUAAAAUAUAGAAUAAAUAAUUGAGUUCUCCAGUCAACAA